rnacentral:rRNA from 1 species
GGUUGAUCCUGCCAGUAAUCAUAUGCUUGUUUCAAAGAUUAAGCCAUGCAUGUGUAAGUAUGAACUAAUUCAGACUGUGAAACUGCGAACGACUCAUUAAAUCAGUUAUAGUUUGUUUGAUGGUACCCGUUACUCGGAUAACCGUAGUAAUUCUAGAGCUAAGACGUGCACCGAACCCCGACUUUCGGAAGGGAUGCAUUUAUUAGAUAAAAGGUCGACGUGGGCUUCGCUCGUUGCUCUGAUGAUUCAUGAUAACUCGACGGAUCGCACAGCCAUCGU